UACGUAGGGUGCAAGCGUUGUCCGGAAUUAUUGGGCGUAAAGAGCUCGUAGGCGGUCUGUCGCGUCUGCUGUGAAAACUCAGGGCUUAACCCUGAGCUUGCAGUGGGUACGGGCAGACUAGAGUGCGGUAGGGGAGACUGGAAUUCCUGGUGUAGCGGUGAAAUGCGCAGAUAUCAGGGAGGGAACACCGGUGGGCGAAGGCGGGUCUCUGGGCCGUAACUGACGCUGGAGGAGCGGAAAGCAUGGGGAG
rnacentral:rRNA from 1 species